GACAGAGGCCCCAAGCGUUAGGCGGAAUCACUGGGCUUAAAGCGUGUGUAGGCGGAUCGUUAAGUGUCUUGUGAAAUCCCACGGCUCACCCGUGGAACUGCUGGGCAUACUGGCGAUCUUGGGCCAACUAGGGGCAGCCGGAACAAGCGGUGGAGCGGUGAAAUGCGUAGAUAUCGCUUGGAACGCCAAAGGUGAAGACAGGCUGCUGGGGUUGUGCCGACGCUGAGACACGAAAGCCAGGGGAGCAAACGGG
rnacentral:rRNA from 1 species